UACGUAGGUGACAAGCGUUGUCCGGAUUUACUGGGCGUAAAGAGCGCGCAGGCGGUCGUUCAAGUCGAGUGUGAAAGCCCCCGGCUCAACUGGGGAGGGUCAUUCGAUACUGAUCGACUCGAAGGCAGGAGAGGGAAGUGGAAUUCCCGGUGUAGUGGUGAAAUGCGUAGAUAUCGGGAGGAACACCAGUGGCGAAGGCGACUACCUGGCCUGUUCUUGACGCUGAGGCGCGAAAGCUAGGGGAGCAAACGGGG
rnacentral:rRNA from 1 species